rnacentral:misc_RNA from 1 species
GUGAGUCAUCGAAUCUUUGAACGCACAUUGCGCCCGCCAGUAUUCUGGCGGGCAUGCCUGUUCGAGCGUCAUUUCAACCCUCAAGCCCCACGGCUUGGUGUUGGGGACCGGCCCCCGGGCCGCCCCCUAAAUGCAGUGGCGACCUCGCCGCAGCCUCCCCUGCGUAGUAGCACAACCUCGCAAGCGGAGCGCGGAGACGGUCACGCCGUAAAACGCCCAACUUUCUUAGAGUUGACCUCGGAUCAGGUAGGAAUACCCGCUGAACUUAAGCAUAUCAAUAAGCGGAGGA